GAUGAACGCUAGCGGCAGGCUUAAUACAUGCAAGUCGAGGGGCAGCAUGUCCCGUAGCAAUACGGGAUGAUGGCGACCGGCAAACGGGUGCGGAACACGUACAGAACCUUCCUUCGAGCGGGGGAUAGCCCAGAGAAAUUUGGAUUAAUACCCCAUAGUACAACAAAGUGGCAUCACUUUGUUGUUAAAGAUUUAUCACUCGAAGAUGGCUGUGCGGCUGAUUAGGUAGUUGGCGGGGUAACGGCCCACCAAGCCUGCGAUCAGUAACUGGUGUGAGAGCACGACCAGGCACACGGGCACUGAGACACGGGCCCGAAUCGUACGGGAGGCAGGAGUAAGGAAUAUUGGUCAAUGGACGAAAGUCUGAACCAGCCAUGCCGCGUGGAGGAGGAAGGGCCUCGGGAUUGUAAACUUCUUUUAUAUGGGACGAAAAAAGGCCUUUCUAGGUCGUCUGACGGUACCAUAUGAAUAAGCACCGGCUAACUCCGUG
rnacentral:rRNA from 1 species